rnacentral:rRNA from 1 species
AGUGAACGCUGGCGGCGUGCUUAACACAUGCAAGUCGAACGAGAACGGAAUAUAGCUUGCUAUAUUUGUCAGCUAAGUGGCGCACGGGUGAGUAAUGUAUAGAUAACCUGCCCUUAAGAAAGGAAUAACAGUUGGAAACGACUGCUAAUGCCCUAUAUGCCUUUAAUACAUAAGUAUGCAAGGGAGACGCUUUAGUGCUUAAGGAUGGGUCUGUAUGGUAUCAGCUUGUUGGUGAGGUAAUGGCUCACCAAGGCUAUGACGCCUAACUGGUUUGAGAGGAUGAUCAGUCACACUGGAAAUGAGACACGGUCCAGACUCCUACGGGAGGCAGCAGUGGGGAAUAUUGCACAAUGGACGAAAGUCUGAUGCAGCAACGCCGCGUGGAGGAUGACACAUUUCGGUGCGUAAACUCCUUUUAUAUAGGAAGAUAAUGACGGUACUAUAUGAAUAAGCACCGGCUAACUCCGUGCCAGCCGCCGCCGUAACAC